UACGAGGGGUGCAAACGUUAUUCGGAAUCAUUGGGCGUAAAGGGUGCGUAGGCGGUGUAGACAGUCUAUAGUUAAAUUUCUCAGCCUAACUGAGAGCUUGCUGUGGAUACUAUUACACUAGAGGAUGGAAGAGAGAAGUGGAAUUCUCGGAGUAGCGGUAAAAUGCGUAGAUCUCGAGAGGAAUACCGAUGGCGAAGGCAGCUUCUUGGUCCAUAUCUGACGCUGAGGCACGAAAGCGUGGGGAGCAAACAGG
rnacentral:rRNA from 1 species